rnacentral:lncRNA from 1 species
AUGGCGCUGCCGCACCGAGAGCCGGAGCCCGAGCGGCUGGGGAGACGGGAAGAGGCGUCACCGGAUCCUACCCUCGCCUCCGUCACCGGAAGUGCGCGCCGGCGCCAGCCCCUGUUCCCGGAUAUUAAGACUUCUGCAGGUUCCCGCCUGAGGGCGGGGCUAGAGCCGGAACCGAACGGCGACCGACGGGCCUCGGGGCGGAAGCCCCGGGCGGAGCCAGCAGGGUUUGGUUUUUGGCUCGGACAAUCAACAGUGAACUGCCUGGUCCUUUGCUGUAUUUGCAUAAAUGUAAAUAUCUUUGGAAUUUUUUCCCAAGCUCUCUUUAUAAGAAAUUUGGGACAAAGAUUAGGAAGAGAAUUUCAUUAUUGGUUUCUUGCAAUCUUAUGUCAUGGCUGAAUUGCGUAUAGGAGAAAAUAUUCAAUGACUAUUACAUCAGUGAAGUUUAAUAUUCUGGGUCUAAUAUCUGUAUAUAAUAACCUUCGAGAAUGAGUAUAGGAUAGCAUUUUAAAAUUUUCUUGUCUGUGAGAAAAACAAAUGAAGAGGUGUUGUUUGCAUAAUAUAUGAACUACAAAAAGUAAGUAAUGGAUAAAGACCCAGAAAAAAACCCAUAUUUGUAAAGUCAGAUUAUUUCCCGAGGAGCUAUCAAGUCUGAGGAAAAUUCUUAUCAGUUAUUUUGUAGUUACAAAAAUAUUAACCCAUUAAAACUACAUAUUUAAAAGAAUCUAGUUGUAUUGUAGUAAAGGCUAAAAUAUAAAAGAAAAAUUCCAAUUAUGAACAAAAUCUAAUUAAAUAUUUCUCUGGCCUUGUCACUUCUUUCCAAAGAAGAAAACAGUUGUCUUCCUUAUGGCCACUGGGGCUUCUCAUUUGCAAUGAUUUUAAUAAAACACUUCAAAUGGUUGUCA